UAUGCUGGGUGGAUUAGUGGCGAACGGGUGAGUAACACGUGAGUAACCUGCCCUUGACUCUGGGAUAAGCGUUGGAAACGACGUCUAAUACCGGAUACGAGCUUCCACCGCAUGGUGAGUUGCUGGAAAGAAUUUUGGUCAAGGAUGGACUCGCGGCCUAUCAGCUUGUUGGUGAGGUAAUGGCUCACCAAGGCGACGACGGGUAGCCGGCCUGAGAGGGUGACCGGCCACACUGGGACUGAGACACGGCCCAGACUCCUACGGGAGGCAGCAGUGGGGAAUAUUGCACAAUGGGCGAAAGCCUGAUGCAGCAACGCCGCGUGAGGGACGACGGCCUUCGGGUUGUAAACCUCUUUUAGCAGGGAAGAAGCGAAAGUGACGGUACCUGCAGAAAAAGCACCGGCUAACUACGUGCCAGCAGCCGCGGUAAUACGUAGGGUGCAAGCGUUGUCCGGAAUUAUUGGGCGUAAAGAGCUCGUAGGCGGUUUGUCGCGUCUGCUGUGAAAUCCCGAGGCUCAACCUCGGGUCUGCAGUGGGUACGGGCAGACUAGAGUGCGGUAGGGGAGAUUGGAAUUCCUGGUGUAGCGGUGGAAUGCGCAGAUAUCAGGAGGAACACCGAUGGCGAAGGCAGAUCUCUGGGCCGCUACUGACGCUGAGGAGCGAAAGGGUGGGGAGCAAACAGGCUUAGAUACCCUGGUAGUCCACCCCGUAAACGUUGGGCGCUAGAUGUGGGGACCAUUCCACGGUUUCCGUGUCGUAGCUAACGCAUUAAGCGCCCCGCCUGGGGGAGUACGGCCGCAAGGCUAAAACUCCAAAGGGAAA
rnacentral:rRNA from 1 species